UUAAAAACUAGUUAAUUUAUAAUAACAUAAGAAUGUCAUUCUUAAAUUACCUUUGGUGUUUUUAAA
rnacentral:tRNA from 1 species